CCUACGGGAGGCAGCAGUAGGGAAUCUUCCACAAUGGGCGCAAGCCUGAUGGAGCAACACCGCGUGAGUGAAGAAGGGUUUCGGCUCGUAAAGCUCUGUUGGUGGAGAAGAACGUGCGUGAGCGUAACUGUUCACGCAGUGACGGUAUCCAACCAGAAAGUCACGGCUAACUACGGGCCAGCAGCCGCGGUAAUACGUAGGUGGCAAGCGUUAUCCGGCUUUAUUGGGCGUAAAGCGAGCGCAGGCGGUUGCUUAGGGCUGAUGUGAAAGCCUUCGGCUUAACCGAAGAAGUGCAUCUGAAACUGGGCAUCGUGAGUGCAGUAGAGGUCAGUGGAACUCUAGGUGUAGCGGUGAAAUGCGUAGAUAUAUGGAAGAACACCAGUGGCGAAGGCGGCUGUCUGGUCUGCAACUGACGCUGAGGCUCGAAAGCGUGGGUAUCGAACAGGAUUAGAUACCCUUGUAGUC
rnacentral:rRNA from 1 species